rnacentral:sRNA from 1 species
AUCUAGCAGAAUUCGUCUCUAGUCUUUGACCACGGAUGUACUGGCAUCGAUUAUUGAGGCGCAUGAAGGAAGGUCGGCACCGGGAGGUUCCGGCCUUUUUCUUU